rnacentral:rRNA from 1 species
GUCUUGUAAUUGGAAUGAUGGUGACCUAAACCCUCACCAGAGUAACAAUUGGAGGGCAAGUCUGGUGCCAGCAGCCGCGGUAAUUCCAGCUCCAAUAGCGUAUAUUAAACUUGUUGCAGUUAAAAAGCUCGUAGUUGAAUUUCUGCGUUAUCGAGUUAUUGACUCUUGUCUUUAAUCGAUUUCGCUUUUGGGAUUUAUCCCUUUUUACUUUGAGAAAAUUAGAGUGUUUCAAGCAGACUUUUGUCUUGAAUACUUCAGCAUGGAAUAAUAGAGUAGGACUUUGGUUCUAUUUUGUUGGUUUUUGAACCUUAGUAAUGGUUAAUAGGAACGGUUGGGGGCAUUCGUAUUUAACUGUCAGAGGUGAAAUUCUUAGAUUUGUUAAAGACGAACUACUGCGAAAGCAUUUGCCAAGGACGUUUCCAUUAAUCAAGAACGAAAGUUAGGGGAUCGAAGACGAUAGAUACCGUCGUAGUCCUAACCAUAAACUA